ACUUCUGGCUCUUAAAUACCAGGAUUUCACUAUUUCAAAAACUAUUAUAUGAUGACUAAAUUAAUCAAUUUUGUGAUAACAGUUUUCUUCUUAAAGGAAAUUAAAUCACGAGUUUUUGAACAAAAAAAGAAUUCUACUGGCUUAUUUCAUGAUGAAAAUGAGUUUAUUGUGAAUGGUUUCAACGCACCUGUUGGACGAGAAUUUUUUGUCAGUUUAUAUUCUACAUAUUUGCAGAGUACUUGUGGAGGAGCUAUUGUGGCUCCUUUUUGGAUAAUUACAGCGGCACAUUGCGUUCUUAUUACCCCAGUUGAACACCUUUCUGUUGUGUCGGAUCUUAUAGUACAAUGGUCAAAUCCAUCAUAUGCGUCAUAUGGCUUCCGCGGGGUUCAAUACAAAUUCAUACCUGCCAGUUUUGAAGUGAACAAUGGAGAGUUCAAAAACGACAUUGCUCUGCUCAAAUUACUGCAACCUAUAACGACCCCAAAUCGAAUAUUGCCCAUUUGCAGCGACAGUGCACAUACCAUCCAUUUCGACAU